rnacentral:rRNA from 2 species
AACUUCUUCUGAAGUUGACCUCGAAUCAGGUAGGAAUACCCGCUGAACUUAAGCAUAUCAAUAAGCGGAGGAAAAGAAACCAACAGGGAUUGCCCCAGUAACGGCGAGUGAAGCGGCAACAGCUCAAAUUUGAAAUCUGGCUCUCGGGCCCGAGUUGUAAUUUGUAGAGGAUGCUUUUGGUGAGGUGCCUUCCGAGUUCCCUGGAACGGGACGCCAUAGAGGGUGAGAGCCCCGUCUGGUUGGACGCCGAACCUCUGUAAAGCUCCUUCGACGAGUCGAGUAGUUUGGGAAUGCUGCUCUAAAUGGGAGGUAUAUGUCUUCUAAAGCUAAAUACCGGCCAGAGACCGAUAGCGCACAAGUAGAGUGAUCGAAAGAUGAAAAGAACUUUGAAAAGAGAGUUAAACAGUACGUGAAAUUGUUGAAAGGGAAGCGCUUGUGACCAGACUUGGGCUUGGUUGAUCAUCCGGGGUUCUCCCCGGUGCACUCUUCCGGCCUAGGCCAGCAUCAGUUCGCCCUGGGGGAUAAAGGCUUCGGGAACGUGGCUCUCUCCGGGGAGUGUUAUAGCCCGCUGCGUAAUACCCUGUGGCGGACUGAGGUUCGCGC